rnacentral:tRNA from 1 species
GUUAAUGUAGCUUAAACAGCAAAGCAAGGCA